GCCGAUGAUCCAUCGGCUUGAAUGUGCCCGAUCUCAUCAGAUCUCAAAAGCUAAGCAGUUCCGAGUUCGGUUCGCAUUUGAAAUGGAGAUCUUCACGUAAUGCUGACCAGGUAUUGUAAGUU
rnacentral:rRNA from 1 species